rnacentral:rRNA from 1 species
AUUGAACGCUGGCGGAAUGCUUUACACAUGCAAGUCGAACGGCAGCACGGGGCAACCUGGUGGCGAGUGGCGAACGGGUGAGUAAUACAUCGGAACGUGCCCAGUCGUGGGGGAUAACGUAGCGAAAGUUACGCUAAUACCGCAUACGAUCUAAGGAUGAAAGCGGGGGAUCGCAAGACCUCGCGCGAUUGGAGCGGCCGAUGUCAGAUUAGGUAGUUGGUGGGGUAAAGGCCUACCAAGCCGACGAUCUGUAGCUGGUCUGAGAGGACGACCAGCCACACUGGGACUGAGAGACGGCCCAGACUCCGACGGGAGGCAGCAGUGGGGAAUUUUGGACAAUGGGCGCAAGCCUGAUCCAGCCAUUCCGCGUGCAGGGUGAAGGCCUUCGGGUUGUAAACUGCUUUUGUACGGAGCGAAAAGGCUCUCUCUAAUACAGGGGGCUCAUGACGGUACCGUAAGAAUAAGCACCGGCUAACUACGUGCCAGCCGCCGCUGUAAAAC